rnacentral:rRNA from 1 species
GAGUAAUAUAUAGUUAAUGUGCCUCGAAGACCGGGAUAGCCAUUGGAAACGAUGAUUAAUACUGGAUAUACCUAUCUAUCAUAAGUUAGAUAGGGAAACGUUUUUUCGCUUCGAGAUCGGACUAUAUCCCAUCAGUUAGUUGGUAGUGUAAGAGACUACCAAGGCAAUGACGGGUAGCGGGUUUGAGAGGAUGAUCCGCCACACUGGUACUGAGACACGGACCAG